rnacentral:rRNA from 1 species
UACGGAGGGUGCAAGCGUUAUCCGGAUUCACUGGGUUUAAAGGGUGCGUAGGUGGAUUAGUAAGUCAGUGGUGAAAUCUCCGAGCUUAACUCGGAAACUGCCAUUGAUACUAUUAGUCUUGAAUUAUCUGGAGGUGAGCGGAAUAUGUCAUGUAGCGGUGAAAUGCUUAGAUAUGACAUAGAACACCAAUUGCGAAGGCAGCUCACUACGGAUAUAUUGACACUGAGGCACGAAAGCGUGGGGAGCAAACGGG